AGUGCGUUAUCGGUAACUCAGACAAUUAUCAUCCCUGGCAACCGCAAAAAACUAUCAGUCAUUAUUUCAAUUUUCGCCGUGCUGAUAACAACAAUAAAGGUUUUUACAUAUGGUCCACCUGAUCGAGCAGAGCGCAGAGAAACCGAUUCACAGUUGUGGUACUUUGUGGAGGUGUAGGUAUCGUGCUGGGAAUAACCGGCGAAGAUGGUGAUAACUCGGCUGAUAAACACCCGCAUGAUCUGGUGGACGAUUAAAUGUGAUAAGUGUCAGCAAUACAGUGUAAUCUCAUAGUGCAUCGGCAGUGCUCGGCCACGGGACUUGAACCGUGCGCAGCGAAAACUGGCAGUAGGAUCUGUACAAGCUGUAUCGGACGACGUCACCGAACUACGACGAGGUUAACAAACUGCGUGACUCACUCAACGAAAAUCUAAUCAACACCGAUCUGAGUAGCUACUCACCGGAAUGUGUAGCCACGGUGCUGAAGAAGUUCUUAAGGGAGCUGCCCGAUCCGAUCAUUCUGAUUAUGUUUUACGACAAAUUCGUCGUGAGUCUCAAAAAUUACCAGUGAUGUGUAGCAAUUUGAUUGCAUAUCCAGGAUCUGCCAAUUUACCACAACAUGACGCUAAGUAUGUAUAUUGUGAUCCAUCUGAUACGAAUAUGCCAAAUGCAGUACCAGCGGGAACUGAAAGGGGAACCGACAAUACUGAUACAAGCGUGGUGCCAUAUUCUAAUGCGUCUUCCUAGGGAGAAAAUUGUUCGAAUCGUGUAUAACACGGAAUACCACUUGCGAAUAAUGGAACUAUUGCUCUAGAAGCUGGACUGGAACGAAAAACUACCAGAAUUUCUGUCUGCUCCUACGGUACCACCACGGAAAAUCUCCCGAAGCACAGCUGUGUUACAGCAGCAGCAGCAACAACAACAAAUACUCGGUUCAUCCACUGUUUUACCAACAGUCUAGGUUGCUUCAAAAAGCCUGCGAUCACAUUCCCGGCAUCUGUGAUACAAGCGCCCUUGAUUGGGGUGUACAAUAAUGCCGGUAGAAAUAGUGGUGAUGGAACACUAGCUGCUGAAAGUUGGGAGAUAGCAUUGAUACCAGCAGUUAAUGAUGCAAACACACCAGCUGACCUGGCGGAUCAAAUCGACCGAUUCCUUCCUCGAGUUCUAAUUGAUUGCAAUAAAUAAAAAAAAUAUUUGUUUU